rnacentral:rRNA from 1 species
AGAAUCAACGCUGGCGGCGUGCCUAACACAUGCAAGUCGAACGAGAAAGUGGAGCAAUCCAUGAGUAAAGUGGCGCACGGGUGAGUAACACGUGACUAACCUACCCUUUAGUGGGGGAUAACCUAAGGGAAACCUGGGCUAAUACCGCAUAACACUUACGAGUCAAAGCAGCAAUGCGCUGAAAGAGGGGUCGCGGCCGAUUAGCUAGUUGGCGGGGUAAUGGCCCACCAAGGCAGUGAUCGGUA